GUUGAGAUUUAAUACACAUGGAUUUAGCAUUUGAUCAAAUGGCCAUAAUACAUUCACAUUCUCUAUUUAAGAAAACAAUGAUCAACACCUCUCACAUUGUCUUUCUCCUCUUCUAUGUUAACCGAACCUCCCUCCUCCACUCUUCAUGUUUUUCUUCUUCUUGCAUUUUACAUAUAUACCUUGUGAGAUUUGAAUGAUCUUUUAGAGAGUUUUAGUAGAUCAAUUUAAGAGAUGAUUAAAGAAAAGAUUAAAGCUUGAGGUUGAAAGUGUGAACUGGAUAGACACCUCGUCGAGAGAGACAUACCGUUCUCAUGUAGCGUAAGUUGAAUGUGUUUGACGCAUGCUAAGGCUGUUAGCAAUUGGGGAUAGUUAAGGUAUCCUGGUGUCGUGAAGACUUGCAAGAUGUGAAUGUCUUUGGCUAGGAGUUCAAGAUCAGCUUAGGGUUUUGUUUCAGAGUGUUGUCUGUGUUUGUUUGGGAAGUUUGUUGUUAAAGCUGGAUGCUUAAUUUGUGUGUGUGGUUUUGACCUUUACUUGUUGUCAAAUACUCUGUACGUAAUUAUAUUCAAGUGGUCAAAUAUUUUAUGACCUUGGGCAUUGCGCUGGGCCUAUUUAUGGAAAAGACUUAGACCAAACAGCUCGUACUCUUUUAUCAUUUUUAUUAUUCCUAAAAGGACAGUGGUCCAUAUUUUGUAAGGCAUUAAUUUUGAAAAAAAAAUACACUCGCGCUGUAAAAAAUCGGGAUGUUACAUUGUGGUAUCAGAGCUUUGGUCUAGAUUUUCUUGGGGUUGUGUGUCAUGUGUCCUAAGUUGAUCAAGUGUCGGGUUUAGUAGGAGUAAAUGUUCGGAGUCCUAUGUGUUAUAUGUUAUGUGAUUUGUGUCUUGAGUCAAGCAUGAUAUAUGCUUAGGUAAUCGAUUAUUUCUUAACUAAAGUUAAUGUACCCUAUAGUACUUCAGUAAGAAUGAUAGUUAUAACCCUAGAGCAUCAGUCGACUUUGGUCGAUAUGUGUCUCUAAAUUCUUUGGAAUUGUUGGUUUAGAAGGGACGAGAUUGAAUCAAGUAAAAAUAAAAAGGUAUUACUUUAGUAACUCUAUAUAUUAGAAGUAGUGUUUAUUCUUAUCACUUAGAGAUGUUGAGUAGGGACGAGUGGAAGUUGAGCUUAGAAAGGAUUACAAGUAAGAACCUGGACUAAGGGACCUUUUGAUAAAAAUAUUGGAUGUUCAUUUCGAUAAGUUUGGAAUGAGAUAAGAUGAAGGUUAUUAAAUAUUUAUUAGAUGACAUCUAUUUGACAGUGAAGAGUAACUAUGGAUGUCAAUUGGAAAUAAUUAGAAUCCUCGGAUAAAAAUCGAGUGUCUUCUCUAGGAAGAAAAUGGGUGUUGAGCGUUAAAAGUGAUCAAACCAGGGAAGUUAGACAACAGUUAUACUUUUGGAAGGUACCUGAAAGGUUAAAGUUAGUUUCUUAUGUUAGAUAUGUAAUUAAAUGUAUUAAGGAAGAAUCAUGUGAUGAUUAAAGGUAAGGUACAAAGUAUUACCUGGAUAAGUGAUGAUCUAUACAUAGUUUGGGAGAUAGUGAGUAAAAAGGUUUAU